GGCAGAUAAAGCAUCUUGUCCCGUGAGUGUGUCUGAGAGAUGUUUACAGACAGAAAUUGGGGAUAGGAGAUCAUCCCCAAGAGAAAUGCGAGAAAAUUCAGUUGCCAGGAAGUAACGAAAGGAACUUUUUAAGUGUCUGGGAAGCACAGUAACUUUAGCUCUAGACACUGUGGCUCUGCUUUCUAUUACUCUAAUCCCCUUAAGGCCUCACCUAUGUCUAAUACAUCUUUGGUAACUCCAAACCUAACUUAACCUAAUAACUUGGCAUAAUGUAUAUUCAAUAAAUAUUUUCUGAGUUAAUAACA
ensembl:lincRNA Gm44944 predicted gene 44944